AAGAAUAGUAUAAAUAGAAGUGGCUGAAGUCCCUGCCUUUUACCCUUCUGGAGGAGAACACGAAUCUUUGGGAACUAGUUCAGGAAGGAUCUGGACUUACCUCAAUUGCUUUUGCUGCUUGUUCUUUUGUUUCAAAUUCCACAAACGCAAAUCCCUUUGGAUCUCCAGUAGACUUAUAAUGUGGUAUACUUAUAUAAACAACAUUGCCACAUUUCCCAAAUACUCUUUCAAUCCAGCUGUGAUUAACAUUUUUGGGAAGUAACUCCUAUUAUAAAUUAAAAGCAAUAUUAGAGUUUUUCACAAUCAGAAUGUCAAUAAAUUUUUAACUUAAUUAUAU
ensembl:lncRNA MIR302CHG miR-302/367 cluster host gene